UAUCGUUGGGUGGGGGACAACCGCGGGAAACUGCGGCCAAUACUGCAUGACGCCUUUGGGCCAAAGCCUGUGAGGGCGCCUGACGAGGAGCCUGCGUCCGAUUAGCUAGUUGGUUGGGUAAUGGCUGACCAAGGCUGUGAUCGGUAGCUGGUCUGAGAGGAUGAUCAGCCACACUGGGACUGAGACACGGCCCAGACUCCUACGGGAGGCAGCAGUGGGGAAUAUUGGACAAUGGGCGCAAGCCUGAUCCAGCAAUGCCGCGUGGAUGAAGAAGGUUUUCGGAUUGUAAAGUCCUUUCGGCGGGGACGAUGAUGACGGUACCCGCAGAAGAAGCCCCGGCUAACUUCGUGCCAGCAGCCGCGGUAAUACGAAGGGGGCUAGCGUUGCUCGGAAUGACUGGGCGUAAAGGGCGCGUAGGCGGAUUUGUCAGUCGGGCGUGAAAUUCCUGGGCUUAACCUGGGGGCUGCGUUCGAGACGGCGGGUCUUGAGUUUGGAAGAGGGUCGUGGAAUUCCCAGUGUAGAGGUGAAAUUCGUAGAUAUUGGGAAGA
rnacentral:rRNA from 1 species